rnacentral:ncRNA from 3 species
UACGAAGGGUGCAAGCGUUACUCGGAAUUACUGGGCGUAAAGCGUGCGUAGGUGGUUUGUUAAGUCUGAUGUGAAAGCCCUGGGCUCAACCUGGGAAUGGCACUGGAUACUGGCAAGCUAGAGUGUGGCAGAGGGUAGUGGAAUUCCUGGUGUAGCAGUGAAAUGCGUAGAGAUCAGGAGGAACAUCCGUGGCGAAGGCGACUGCCUGGGCCAACACUGACACUGAGGCACGAAAGCGUGGGGAGCAAACAGG